GUUAUGAUUGGCCUUAAAAUAAAAAAUAAACAAAUUUUUUUUUUUAAAAAAAAAACACCCAGCCAGCCUCGUCAGACCCCCACGCAACCACCAUUCUAGUUGACGCCAGCCAGCCACCAGCCUCGUCGUACCACCACGCAACCACCACCAUAGUCGCCGCUCCGGCCGCUACCAAUCUAAAGCACCAUUCCCCCUCCCCAAAACAAUAUACUAACCCACAACUCACUUGCUCCCUGCUACACACCCCUAAAUUACCAACCUCCAUCUCCACCUCACAACGGUUCUACACCACGCAAUCCUCCCUUCUACAACCCGCACAACCACCACAAUAAUAUCAACUCCCAACAACCACCACCUUCCCCUACUUCCUCACGCAAACAACAAUCACCACACCAAAUCCUAACCACUUCACCUCUCACCAAACACAAAACCCGCACAACAAGCCGCACCUCCAACAAUAACCACCACAGCCUGAAGUUGUACUCGCCACCAAUUCUAGCCACAAAAUAGACCCUCGCAACAGCCGCACACCACCGCCUGCUUCGCAACCAGCAAUCGAGCAAUUCAUCCUCUAAUUUCAGCUCAAUUCCCCCCCCCCCCGCGCUGCUAAUUUCCCCUCCCCCUGCAUUGCUAAUUCCCCCUCCUCCUGCGCCGCCAAUUCCCCCUCCCCACGCACUGUUAAUUAACGAAUUGAACAAUGUAAUUGCUUGAAAAUCGUUGCGAAAUUGGGGUUGUAAUUUUGGUUGAUGUGUAUUUUUUGAUUGAAAUAGAGAUUGUUUGGUAGCUUUGAGGUUAGUGUUUGCGGUUGAGGUGGCUGCGGCUAGGAUGGUUGUGGUAUUUGGCGAGGUUGUGGUGCUGCGGUGUUUGGCGAGGCAAGAAGGAAAGCCAACAACGGUUUGGGAUGGGGUCAGGGGUUUCGGGAUGAGGGAGGUCAGAUAGGGGGGUGGAGGUGGUGUUUUCCGGGGUGGGGGAGGGAGAGGGCAGUGGUGGAUAUGGGGGCUUCGGUGAGCAGGGGUGGAGCCGUGGAGGGUUGGGUGAUUGAUGGUGGUUUUUUUUUUUUUUUUUUUUUAAUUUUGUUUUUUUAAAAUAUUUUUUAACCAAUUACUUUGUGACACGUGUCACUUUAUCCAAAAAAAAUUUAACCCAUUCAACCGGUAACCGGUAUUUGGGAUUGAAGAAAAAAGAAAUCCCCCCAAAGCUCGGAUUAUUCUAGUAUAAUCGAAAGUUGGGAUUAUUCUACAAAAAUUGAUGAAAGUUGAGAUUAUUAUUUCUAAUUUUUCCAUAUAUAUAUAUACGGAGUAUAUAUACUACUAGAUCAUCUGUGAACUAAGGUGAAUAAUGAGAACUAAGAGCUCAUCCUGAGCGUUGAUCAAGCUUAAUCUGACGAUCGAGAUUCUACCCGUGUCAUUAAUGGCAAAAUAGUAAAUUCGAUGAUUUGAAUGACUACCGGCACCGCACACUUCUCUCUCCUCUUCUUCACUCUCUAUUUCCUCUUCACGCUUUCUCUCUCCUCGCUUGAAUUUUCCCUGCUGCAAUUUACUCCUUUGAUUUCGCGUCGAAAAACUUCAAUUUGGCAAAUAAAGUUCUUCGAUUAGCUAUAGCUUGUUAAUUUUGGAGAGGGAAAAUUGACAGAGCCCAACUUAAGGUGUGUGCUUUACUUGCUUGGUAGCUUGGCAUUACAGAUUUUUUUAUGACAACGCUACUGUUAAUGGGGUGGCUAUGGCUGCUGGUUUUGUGUCCUUCUGCGAGGAUUAUGUGGUGUAUAAUGCUAAAGUAGGAGGGUGCAUUGUCAGUGGGGUGAGCCUUGCUUUGUGUAAGUGGCUCCCUCCACCCCAUAAUCAUGUAAAGAUCAAUGUAGAUGCGCAUGUGCUUUGUGAGAAUGGUGUGAGCCUAGAGGUGGUGAUUGGAGAUGAAGCGGGGAAGCUGCUGCUGCUGCUGGCUAUUGUGAAAAGACGCUGUUGUAGAUGGCCUCCUGAGCUUGUUGAGGUUGCUAGUGUAGUCUAUGGGCUGGAGCUGGCUAUGAGAAGGGGGUACUCAAAGGUUAAGCUGGUGUAGUCUAUUAGCAUGAUAAAUAAGGGCUCAACUAUAAAUCUUAUCUCUUUAUUUAUGCUUAAUAGUUAAGUACAAAAAUGCAUAGCCUUUUCUAUGAGUAAGUCUGAUAAGCCUAUUCUACUCUACGAAUGAUUUGUGGGCUGCUGUAAGGCUCAACUAAAGCUAUUGAUUAUGUUAACGAAUUAUUCUUGCUAUGUAAUAGCCUACUAGCUCAAUAGGUAGAGCAUUGUGCAAGUGCACAAAAGAUGUAGGUUCGAAUCAAUAGUAGGUUUAUGUGUGUAAUAUGAAGGUCGUAAUGUUAUAUUAAAUUUCUUCUUUUUUUUUGUUUA